AAGCACUUCAGCUACAAGUGACGCAACUCUCUCCCUUCUUUUCCCCUUCCUUUUUUGUUCCAUUUGUCCCACGGAUUCUUCUCCUUCCUCUGCUUUUCCUUAUCAUAUGCGCUCGCCACCUUCGCCCCACAAACCCCUCUGCUUUUCCCUAAACCUAACCUCCUUUCCUUCUCCCUCUUCUUCUUUUUUAUCAAUAUAAUAUCAUAUCCCAUGGCUGAAGAGCACAACCACGAAGUUCAACAUCAUCAAACCAGCAUGAACGAUGUAAACGACAAACGCAAACGAAUGGCACCACUAUCAACAUACUCACCCAGAGACCCUCGCCGUACUUUCUGUACAUUUAUCACCGUCUUCCUCCUCUUAGCAGGUCUCACUGUUCUCAUAGUCUGGUUAGUUUACCGACCCCAUAAACCCCAGUUCACUGUAGUUGGUGCUGCCAUCUAUGACCUCAACAUCACAUCCCUUCCCUACAUCUCCACGUCUAUGCAGUUCACUCUUGUCACCAGAAACCCCAACAAAAGAGUCACCAUCAUAUAUGAUAAACUCUCAGCUUAUGUUUCAUAUAGGAACCAAGCCAUAACGCCUCCAGUGGUGUUGCCUCCGCUUUAUCAUGAAAAGAAGAGCACGGUGGCGCUCUCGCCGGUUCUGGGCGGAGCCGGUGUGCCGGUGUCCGUAGAUGUGGCUAAUGGGUUGAUGAUGGAUGAGGGUUACGGGGUGGUGGCAUUGAGGGUGGUGUUGCUGGGGAGGUUAAGAUGGAAGGCUGGAGCUAUAAAGACUGGGAGGUAUGGAGUUUAUGUGAAGUGUGACAUCUGGGUGGGUUUGAAGAAGGGCGUGGUUGGGCAAGUUCCUUUGCUUGGAUCUCCACAGUGCAAAGUCGAUGUGUGAAGUUAAGCAUAUAUGUAUACUAAAUAACAAGGCUUUUGUUCUUGUUCCUGUUCUGGUUUUCCCUUUUGUAUAAAUUUCAGUGUACUUUUUGUAAUUGUAUCUAUAAGACAAGCAUCUUUCUUUUAAUAACUUCUUUUUAUGCAAAAAUGUAAGAUCGAAGGCAGGCAUUUCACUGGAGAAUGAUCAACAACAAUAAUAUUUGAUCAACAACAAUAAUAUUUUGAAGGAAUCAUCUAG
rnacentral:misc_RNA from 1 species